GGGGUGUGGUUGUGCUUAGGGUCAGGACUGGGAGUUCUGUUCCUGAAGACAUUUACCCCUUAGGAUGGGAAUGCUGUGUAGUGCUGUUGUGGAACCACGCCUGUCUGAUCAUUACUGUGUUGGGCAGCUCCCUCCCCCUCUGCAUGCAGAGUGAGCCCUGAAAAGCAUGGACCAAAUGCUUCCAAACAGUGCCAGGCUCUCUCAGGACUGGUGUGGAGCAGAAUGUCACUGUGUGCUCAGGGCUUUGCUCACAAACAUGCUGAACUGUGUGCUGGGAAUGGAGGAUUCAUUCUCUGAUGGAUUGCUCACUCCCUGCAUGGAAAUAGAGAUGUGGAGGGUGCUGCCAGGACCCUCCAAAGGACCCUACAGAGGUUGCUACCUGCUUCUCACCUGUCUCUGGAGCUGCUGCAUAACUGAAAUCAUCGAGUUGUUCUUGCAAACUGUUCCCCCAUUUCACUUUAAUACUUCAAAGAAUUACUGGACCUCGUAAUAUUGAUCUAUUCACUUCCUAUCCUUUUACAGCUGCCUAUAUAAUUUCUGAUCCUUAAAUCUGACAACUGUGUCCCCAAGAUGACUGUUCUUAAUGUUUAAAUGAUUGCUACCUUCCAUCAAAACAAUCUAGCAUUAAAACUGGAAAUACAGUGCAAAAGCAGUAAAAUAGUGUGUCUAUGGAUUAAUUUCUGACUACCCUCUCAGUAUAAAACCAAUGUCUGGAAUAUAACUUGAUUUUAAACUAAAAGUAGAUCAAAGCUCUCUAAGCAUGAACAAGAAAUCACCUGGAAAUAGUGCAGCUACAAGGAAAA